UACGGGGGGGGUAAGCGUUGUUCGGAAUUACUGGGCGUAAAGGGUCUGUAGGUGGCUUGCUAAGUCAGACGUGAAAUCCCUCAGCUUAACUGGGGAACUGCGUCUGAGACUGGCGAGCUUGAGUGCAGGAGAGGAACGUGGAAUUCCAGGUGUAGCGGUGAAAUGCGUAGAUAUCUGGAGGAACACCCGUGGCGAAGGCGGCUCCCUGGUCCGAUUCUGACGCUGAGACGCGAAAGCGCGGGGAGCGAACGGG
rnacentral:rRNA from 1 species